rnacentral:tRNA from 1 species
UGCCCGAUCGUCUAAUGGUAGGACACUGGUUUUUGGUACCAGGUAUCAAGGUUCGAGUCCUUGUUGGGCAG